UACAGAGGUCUCAAGCGUUGUUCGGAUUCAUUGGGCGUAAAGAGCUCGUAGGCGGUCUGUUGCGUCGGCUGUGAAAACCCGAGGCUCAACCUCGGGCCUGCAGCCGAUACGGGCAGACUAGAGUUCGGCAGGGGAGACUGGAAUUCCUGGUGUAGCGGUGAAAUGCGCAGAUAUCAGGAGGAACACCGGUGGCGAAGGCGGGUCUCUGGGCCGAUACUGACGCUGAGGAGCGAAAGCGUGGGGAGCGAACGGG
rnacentral:rRNA from 1 species